rnacentral:rRNA from 1 species
GUUAAAAAGCUCGUAGUUGGAUUUCGGAGUGGGCCAGUUGGUCCGCCGCAAGGUGUGUUACUGACUGGUUUGCUCUUCUUCGCAAAGACUGCGUGUGCUCUUCAGCGAGUGUGCGUAGGAUUUACGACGUUUACUUUGAAAAAAUUAGAGUGUUCAAAGCAGGCUAUUGCUUGAAUACAUGAGCAUGGAAUAAUGGAAUAGGACUUUGGUCCCAUUUUGUUGGUUUCUAGGGCCGAAGUAAUGAUUAAGAGGGACAAUUGGGGGCAUCCGUAUUUCGUUGUCAGAGGUGAAAUUCUUGGAUUUACGAAAGACGAACAACUGCGAAAGCACUUGCCAAGAGUGUUUUCAUUAAUCAAGAACGAAAGUUAGAGGAUCGAAGACGAUCAGAUACCGUCCUAGUUCUAACCAUAAACGAUGUCGACUAGGGAUCAGCGGGCGUUAUCGUACGACCCCGUUGGCACCUUACGGGAAACCAAAGUUUCUGGAUUCCGGGGGAAGUAUGGUUGCAAAGCUGAAACUUAAAGGAAUUGACGGAAGGGCACCACCAGGAGUGGAGCCUGUGGCUCAAUUUGACUCAACACGGGAAAACUUACCAGGUCCAGACAUAGUAAGGAUUGAC